GAGCACGUUCCAAAAGAUUGUGGCUGGCUGGGCUUCCUUGCGCUACAGCUGAGUUCAAGAGCAACCUGGAGAGACGUUGAUAGCUCAGGUCAGCAUCGAAUCUGCAGCUGCCACUCACCUCUUCUGUAAAU